rnacentral:rRNA from 1 species
AGUCGAUGAUGGGAGCUAGCUUGCUAGAAGAAGUCAUGGCGGACGGGUGAGUAACGUGUAAAGAACUUACCAUAUAGACUGGGAUAACAGAGGGAAACUUCUGAUAAUACUGGAUAAGUUAGAAGUAGCAUUACUAAGUAAUGAAAGGUAGCAAUACGCUAUAUGAGAGCUUUGCAUCCUAUUAGCUAGUUGGUGGGGUAAAAGCCUACCAAGGCGAUGAUAGGUAGCCGGCCUGAGAGGGUGGACGGCCACAAGGGGACUGAGAUACGGCCCUUACUCCUACGGGAGGCAGCAGUGGGGAAUAUUGGACAAUGGAGGCAACUCUGAUCCAGCAAUUCUGUGUGUGUGAAGAAGGUUUUAGGACUGUAAAACACUUUUAGUAGGGAAGAAAGAAAUGACGGUACCUACAGAAGAAGCGACGGCUAAAUACGUGCCAGCGGCCGCGGUAAUACGUAUGUCGCGAGCGUUAUCCGGAAUUAUUGGGCUUAAAGGGCAUCUAGGCGGUUAAACAAGUUGAAGGUGAAAACCUGUGGCUCAACCAUAGGCUUGCCUACAAAACUGUAUAACUAGAGUACUGGAAAGGUGGGUGGAACUACACGAGUAGAGGUGAAAUUCGUAGAUAUGUGUAGGAAUGCCGAUGAUGAAGAUAACUCACUGGACAGCAACUGACGCUGAAGUGCGAAAGCUAGGGGAGCAAACAGGAUUAGAUACCCUGGUAGUCCUAGCUGUAAACGAUGAUCACUGGGUGUGGGGAUUCGAAGUCUCUGUGCCGAAGCAAAAGCGAUAAGUGAUCCGCCUGGGGAGUACGUUCGCAAGAAUGAAAC